AAAAUGUGUGGUUAAAAAUUGUAAAUUUUACUUUUUUGUUUAUAACAUCGUUGUGCCUCAAACGAAAGUUAAUUUCCAACAUACCUUACAGUGAUAAUCGAUAAAUAAAUUCUUUGCUUCCCGCCAACUGGUUUAAAUGAUAAAAAGACCGGCGAAGAAUAACAGACGCUUCGAAAACGUUAUAAAUGCAACUGGAAACAGUGGACCAAUCAGACAGCAGCGCAUUGAUGUGAUUCCUGGAAACGGUGCGAGUGAUCAAAGAAGAAACGAGAACUACCAUCACAAUGACGUUUCAACUGAGAUCUUCCAGUGGUAAAUUAUUUGAAGUCAGCAAUGCAAUUAUGGAGCACUCAUCAACCAUACGUAGAAUAAGACGUGAAACAAAAUGUGAGGGGCUGGUUCCCGUCUUGGAUGUACCUCGCGUAGACCCAGAACCGUUGACGUACGUUUUAAUUUGGUUUGAACAUAACCUCCAUGAAGUUAAACAACCGCAGUACGAAUACGGCCUUUCUGAGUUUGACAGAGAUUUCUUCAGAAUGCUUUAUUCGUAUCGGAAGAGCGGUUUGAUCAAGGAUUUUUUCAAGACUGCAGAGUAUUUGAAAUUGAAGCGUUUGAUUAAACUCUCAGAGUUGUUUUCGAACUUAAUCUCUUGGGAGAAAAUUUUGAAAAAAUAAUUAGUUUCUAACAUGCUGUGUUCACAUGUGUAUUUCUUUAUGUACAAAUUACAUUGUAACAAUAAAUAAAUAAAUAUAUAUAUUUUAA